UACGAAGGGGGCUAGCGUUGCUCGGAAUCACUGGGCGUAAAGGGUGCGUAGGCGGGUUAUUAAGUCAGAGGUGAAAUCCUGGAGCUCAACUCCAGAACUGCCUUUGAUACUGGAGAGCUUGAGUCCGGGAGAGGUGAGUGGAACUCCGAGUGUAGAGGUGAAAUUCGUAGAUAUUCGCAGGAACACCAGUGGCGAAGGCGGCUUACUGGUCCAUUACUGACGCUGAGGUGCGAAAGCGUGGGGAGCAAACAGG
rnacentral:rRNA from 1 species